UUGCAUCGAUUCUUCGCUGCGCAGUACACUUCGGCGUACCUUCUUUUUGUGUUCACCUUGGUGUUCACGGCCUCAGCCACGGACCUGUGUCGGCUUCAUGGACGAAUGAAAAUAUCGAACCAGGCACUGGCCGAGGAAAACGAUUUCAAGACAAGUCUGCUCGUCCUGACCCUCUUGACUGUCUUCGUCACAGCUGGUAACAUGGUUGUAUGUGGCCUGAGAGAUACCACAGUCUACAACCCCAAGUCAUUUAAGGAGUCUCAAGAAUAUCAUUGGCAAAUCCACGACUAACAUUCGCCGCUUCGUAAAGCCAAGCCUCUACAGCCAGUGCGCAAGAACUGUGGCCACACUGUACGCUAAAGCGAAAAACGGGGUGCUCCCGGGAUCUAAAGGACGCCUGCUGUACGCUCUGUGGUGUGUCACGUGGCGCGAAGUCUUGUGGAUUAUGGCCUCCGGCAUUGCCUACUACCUGACGCUCAUCGCCAGGGCCUUAGUG
rnacentral:lncRNA from 1 species